rnacentral:rRNA from 1 species
AUUGAACGCUGGCGGCAUGCCUUACACAUGCAAGUCGAACGGUAACAGGUCUUCGGAUGCUGACGAGUGGCGAACGGGUGAGUAAUACAUCGGAACGUGCCCGAUCGUGGGGGAUAACGAGGCGAAAGCUUUGCUAAUACCGCAUACGAUCUACGGAUGAAAGCGGGGGAUCUUCGGACCUCGCGCGGACGGAGCGGCCGAUGGCAGAUUAGGUAGUUGGUGGGAUAAAAGCUUACCAAGCCGACGAUCUGUAGCUGGUCUGAGAGGAUGAUCAGCCACACUGGGACUGAGACACGGCCCAGACUCCUACGGGAGGCAGCAGUGGGGAAUUUUGGACAAUGGGCGAAAGCCUGAUCCAGCCAUGCCGCGUGCAGGAUGAAGGCCUUUGGGUUGUAAACUGCUUUUGUACGGAACGAAAAGCCUCUUUCUAAUAAAGAGGGGUCAUGACGGCACCGUAAGAAUAAGCACCGGCUAACUACGUG